GACGUAGGGCGCGAGCGUUGUCCGGAUUUAUUGGGCGUAAAGAGCUCGUAGGCGGCUUGUUGCGUCAGCUGUGAAAACCCGCAGCUCAACUGUGGGCUUGCAGCUGAUACGGGCAGGCUUGAGUUCGGUAGGGGAGACUGGGAUCCUGGUGUAGCGGUGAAAUGCGCAGAUAUCAGGAAGAACACCCGUGGCUAAGGCGGUUCUCUAGUACGGUACUGACGCUGAGACGCGAAAGCGUGGGGAGCAAACAGG
rnacentral:rRNA from 1 species